rnacentral:rRNA from 1 species
UACGAAGGGGGCUAGCGUUGCUCGGAAUCACUGGGCGUAAAGGGUGCGUAGGCGGGUCUUUAAGUCAGGGGGGAAAUCCUGGAGCUCAACUCCAGAACUGCCUUUGAUACUGAAGAUCUUGAGUUCGGGAGAGGUGAGUGGAACUGCGAGUGUAGAGGUGAAAUUGUAGAUAUUCGCAAGAACACCAGUGGCGAAGGCGGCUCACUGGCCCGAUACUGACGCUGAGGCACGAAAGCGUGGGGAGCAAACAGG